ensembl:lncRNA
UAUACAAGGUGUUACGGUACAGAGUCAAUGUGGAGGCUAUAUACAGGGUGUUACGGUACAGAGUCAAUGUGGAGGCUAUAUACAGGUUGUUACGGUACAGAGUCAAUGUGGAGGCUAUAUACAGGGGGUACUGGUACAGAGUCAAUGUGGAGGCUAUAUACAGGGUGUUAUGGUACAGAGUCAAUGUGGAGGCUAUAUACAGGGGGUACUGGUACAGAGUCAAUGUGGAGGUUAUAUACAGGGGGUACUGGUACAGAGUCAAUGUGGAGGCUAUAUACAGGUGGUACCAGUACAGAGUCAAUGUGGAGGCUAUAUACAGG